AAGCCUGAUCCAGCCAUGCCGCGUGGGUGAAGAAGGCCUUCGGGUUGUAAAGCCCUUUUGUUGGGAAAGAAAAGCAGCCGGCCAAUACCCGGUUGUUCUGACGGUACCCAAGGAGGAAGCCACGGCUAACUACGUGCCAGCAGCCGCGGUAAUACGUAGGUGGCAAGCGUUGUCCGGAUUUACUGGGCGUAAAGAGUAUGUAGGCGGACAUUUAAGUCAGAUGUGAAAUCCCCGGGCUUAACCUGGGAGCUGCAUUUGAUACUGGGUGUCUAGAGUGUAGGAGAGGAAAGUGGAAUUCCUAGUGUAGCGGUGAAAUGCGUAGAGAUUAGGAAGAACACCAGUGGCGAAGGCGACUUUCUGGACUAUAACUGACGCUGAGAUACGAAAGCGUGGGGAGCAAACA
rnacentral:rRNA from 1 species